UACGAAGGGGGCUAGCGUUGUUCGGAAUUACUGGGCGUAAAGGGCGCGUAGGCGGUGUGUCAAGUCAGGCGUGAAAGCCCCGGGCUCAACCUGGGAACCGCGCUUGAGACUGGCACGCUAGAGUUCGGGAGAGGAUGGUGGAAUUCCCAGUGUAGAGGUGAAAUUCGUAGAUAUUGGGAAGAACACCGAUGGCGAAGGCAGCCAUCUGGACCGACACUGACGCUGAGGCGCGAAAGCGUGGGGAGCAAGCAGG
rnacentral:rRNA from 1 species